GACGAACGCUGGCGGCGUGCUUAACACAUGCAAGUCGAACGAAAAGAGGGAAAGAGCUUGCUCUUUCCGGAAUUGAGUGGCAAACGGGUGAGUAACACGUAAACAACCUGCCUUCAGGAUGGGGACAACAGACGGAAACGACUGCUAAUACCGAAUAAGUUCCAAGAGCCGCAUGGCCCAUGGAAGAAAAGGUGGCCUCUACCUGUAAGCUAUCGCCUGAAGAGGGGUUUGCGUCUGAUUAGCUGGUUGGAGGGGUAACGGCCCACCAAGGCGACGAUCAGUAGCCGGUCUGAGAGGAUGAACGGCCACACUGGAACUGAGACACGGUCCAGACUCCUACGGGAGGCAGCAGUGGGGAAUCUUCCGCAAUGGGCGAAAGCCUGAAGGAGCAACGCCGCGUGAGUGAUGACGGCCUUCGGGUUGUAAAACUCUGUGAUCCGGGACGAAAAGGCAGAGUGCGAAGAACAAACUGCAUUGACGGUACCGGAAAAGCAAGCCACGGCUAACUACGUG
rnacentral:rRNA from 1 species